rnacentral:lncRNA from 1 species
GGAAGAGACUGAUGCCCUGCAAUGCCUCAGGACUCUCCAGAAUGUUUUCACCAGCAAAAAGGCCCUCAGCAGAUGCAGCCUCUCGACCUUGAACUUUCUAGCCUCCAAAAUGAGACAUCAUUCUGGCUGCAUUAUGAAUGGAUGGUUUGGAGGAAGAAUGUGGAUAGCUAAACAAGAAGGAGAAUAGAAAGAAACUACUCUUAAGACUAUUGCAAUAUCCAGUGUUAUCUCAGGACCAAGGAAUUAAUGGUGCAAUGUGCUUUGUUUCUGACUGCAGACUAUAAUGUUUAUUCCUAUUGGGGGCAGAGCAAGAUUUCAGUUUCUUUUCUCAGCAACAAGAAAAUACUCUGUCUGAAAUCAAGCAACUUCUGGGAAGACCAAGAGUGAUGGAAACUAGAGUUACAAAGCAAAAACCCUACAUCCUGAAUGCCCAGCCCGGUCAAUGAAAUUUUUCUGUCUCAUUUAUCAGCUAACUUGGUCCUCUUCCCCUGGGAACAAAACUGAGAAGGGUUAAGAGAUAAUGUGGAAACAAACUCCCCAGCACUUGCCUAAGAGGGCAGCUGUGUACCCAGACCUUCUUUCCUCUAUGUCAUUGUACUAGAAAGAGAGAGUUCCAUACUCUUUAAUCUGAAUAGUUGGCACUCACUUAAAAAAGAAUGCAGCCUGAUUCCUCUCUGCCCCUCUAGCUAUUUCCAGAAAGUUGUUCAUGGGAUGAAUUGAAAGCCAACAAAGGGAGUUGUUAG